AUUGAACGCUGGCGGCAGGCCUAACACAUGCAAGUCGGACGGUAGCACAGAGAGCUUGCUCUCGGGUGACGAGUGGCGGACGGGUGAGUAAUGUCUGGGGAUCUGCCCGAUAGAGGGGGAUAACCACUGGAAACGGUGGCUAAUACCGCAUAACGUCGCAAGACCAAAGAGGGGGACCUGCGGGCAUCUCGCUAUCGGAUGACUCAAGAUGGGAUUAGCUAGUAGGCGGGGUAACGGCCCACCUAGGCGACGAUCCCUAGCUGGUCUGAGAGGAUGACCAGCCACACUGGAACUGAGACACGGUCCAGACUCCUACGGGAGGCAGCAGUGGGGAAUAUUGCACAAUGGGCGCAAGCCUGAUGCAGCCAUGCCGCGUGUAUGAAGAAGGCCUUCGGGUUGUAAAGUACUUUCAGCGGGGAGGAAGGCGAUGUGGUUAAUAACCGCAUUGAUUGACGUUACCCGCAGAAGAAGCACCGGCUAACUCCGUGCCAGCCGCCGCGGUAA
rnacentral:rRNA from 1 species